UACAGAGGUGACAAGCGUUGUUCGGAAUUACUGGGCGUAAAGGGCGCGUAGGCGGUUCGUUAAGUCCUGUGUGAAAUCCCCCGGCUCAACUGGGGAACUGCACAGGAAACUAGCGGGCUUGAGUUCGGGAGAGGGAAGCGGAAUUCCGGGUGUAGCGGUGAAAUGCGUAGAUAUCCGGAGGAACACCGGUGGCGAAGGCGGCUUCCUGGACCGA
rnacentral:rRNA from 1 species